AACGCUGGCGGCGCGCCUAACACAUGCAAGUCGAGCGAGAAAGUCCCCGCAAGGGGAUGAGUACACCGGCCCACGGGUGAGUAACACGUGGGCAACCUCCCUUCUGGUGGGGGAUAACCCGGGGAAACCUGGGCUAAUACCGCAUAACAUCUUCCCGGGCUGCGGCCUGGGGGAUCAAAGGAGCAAUUCGCCGGAGGAGGGGCCUGCGGCCGAUUAGCUAGUUGGCGGGGUGACGGCCCACCAAGGCAGAGAUCGGUAGCCGGUCUGAGAGGACGCACGGCCACACUGGGACUGAAACACGGCCCAGACUCCUACGGGAGGCAGCAGUGGGGAAUCUUGCACAAUGGGGGAAACCCUGAUGCAGCGACGCCGCGUGAGCGAUGAAGCCCUUCGGGGCGUAAAGCUCUUUCGGUGGGGAAGAUAUGGACGGUACCCGCAAAAGAAGCCCCGGCUAACUACGUGCCAGCAGCCGCGGUAAUACGUAGGGGGCCAGCGUUGUUCGGAAUUACUGGGCGUAAAGGGCGCGUAGGCGGCGCGGCCAGUUCGGUGUGCAAUCUCCCGGCUUAACCGGGAGGGGUCGCCGAGGACGACCGUGCUGGAGUGCGGGAAAGGGGAGUGGAAUUCCCGGUGUAGCGGUGAAAUGCGUAGAGAUCGGGAGGAACACCGGCGGCGAAGGCGGCUCCCUGGACCGCAACUGACGCUGAGGCGCGAAAGCUAGGGGAGCAAACAG
rnacentral:rRNA from 1 species